UACGAAGGGUGCAAGCGUUACUCGGAAUUACUGGGCGUAAAGCGUGCGUAGGCGGUUUGUUAAGUCUGUCGUGAAAGCCCCGGGCUCAACCUGGGAAUGGCGAUGGAUACUGGCGAGCUAGAGUACGGUAGAGGAGAGUGGAAUUCCCGGUGUAGCAGUGAAAUGCGUAGAGAUCGGGAGGAACAUCAGUUGCGAAGGCGGCUCUCUGGACCAGUACUGACGCUGAGGCACGAAGGCCAGGGGAGCAAACGGG
rnacentral:rRNA from 1 species